CACAGCGAAAGGUGCUUGCACCUUUCAAGUGAGUGGCGAACGGGUGAGUAACACGUGGACAACCUGCCUCAAGGCUGGGGAUAACAUUUGGAAACAGAUGCUAAUACCGAAUAAAACUCAGUGUCGCAUGACACAAAGUUAAAAGGCGCUUUGGCGUCACCUAGAGAUGGAUCCGCGGUGCAUUAGUUAGUUGGUGGGGUAAAGGCCUACCAAGACAAUGAUGCAUAGCCGAGUUGAGAGACUGAUCGGCCACAUUGGGACUGAGACACGGCCCAAACUCCUACGGGAGGCUGCAGUAGGGAAUCUUCCACAAUGGGCGAAAGCCUGAUGGAGCAACGCCGCGUGUGUGAUGAAGGCUUUCGGGUCGUAAAGCACUGUUGUAUGGGAAGAACAGCUAGAAUAGGGAAUGAUUUUAGUUUGACGGUACCAUACCAGAAAGGGACGGCUAAAUACGUGCCAGCAGCCGCGGUAAUACGUAUGUCCCGAGCGUUAUCCGGAUUUAUUGGGCGUAAAGCGAGCGCAGACGGUUAAUUAAGUCUGAUGUGAAAGCCCGGAGCUCAACUCCGGAAUGGCAUUGGAAACUGGUUAACUUGAGUGCAGUAGAGGUAAGUGGAACUCCAUGUGUAGCGGUGGAAUGCGUAGAUAUAUGGAAGAACACCAGUGGCGAAGGCGGCUUACUGGACUGUAACUGACGUUGAGGCUCGAAAGUGUGGGUAGCAAACAGGAUUAGAUACCCUGGUAGUCCACACCGUAAACGAUGAACACUAGGU
rnacentral:rRNA from 1 species